GUUAUCCAAAUUGGAUUAUCUAGUUCCUUUAUUUUUUCAUUUCUAAUCAAUGACUUUUGCCAUCUAUCACAAUCUGGAACAUGGCACCAUACAAUUGCUCCAACUAUGAACAUCACUAAUUCAAGUUCCUCACUGCCAUCACUAGGUUUUCUAGUUGACAUUCAUGGACAUCAUUGUGCCCUUUGAGCUUUCAGUUCAUUGACUCUUCCAUUUUCCUCUGGCCUUUUUACUGCCUUUUUCCUCUUUUCAGGUAUUAUUACACAAUCCAGGAAUUACUUUGAUAAAACCAUGACCAAUGAGUGAGAAUAUGCGGUGUUUGGUUUUUUGUUCUUGUGAUAGUUUACUGAGAAUGAUGAUUUCCAAUUUCAUCCACGUCCCUACAAAGGACAUGAACUCAUCAUUUUUUAUGGCUGCAUAGUAU
rnacentral:lncRNA from 1 species